rnacentral:misc_RNA from 1 species
UACAGAGGGUGCGAGCGUUAAUCGGAAUCACUGGGCGUAAAGGGUGCGUAGGUGGAUAAUUGAGUUCAAUGUGAAAUACCCGAGCUUAACUUGGGGGAGUCAUUGGAUACUGAUUAUCUAGAGUUUGUCAGAGGUAAGGGGAAUUUCCGGUGUAGCGGUGAAAUGCGUAGAUAUCGGAAGGAACACCAGUGGCGAAGGCGCCUUACUGGGACGGGACUGACACUGAGGCACGAAAGCGUGGUUAGCAAACAGG